AGUGGUGUAGGGGUAAAAUCCGUAGAUAUCACUAGGAAUACCGAAAGCGAAGGCGAUCUCCUGGAACAAUACUGACGCUAAGGCGUGAAAGCGUGGGGAGCAAACGGGAUUAGAUACCCCGGUAGUCCACGCCCUAAACGAUGAACACUAGUCGUCGGAAUGCUAGUCAUUUCGGUGAUGCACUUAACAGAUUAAGUGUUCCGCCUGGGGAGUACGGUCGCAAGAUUAAAACUCAAAGGAAUAGACGGGGACCCGCACAAGUGGUGGAGCAUGUGGUUUAAUUCGAAGAUACGCGAAGAACCUUACCUAGCCUUGACAUUGAUUGAACACUUUAGAGAUAGAGUGGUGCCCUUCGGGGAACAUGAAAACAGGUGCUGCACGGCUGUCGUCAGCUCGUGUCGUGAGAUGUUGGGUUAAGUCCCGCAACGAGCGCAACCCUCGUCUUUAGUUGCCAGCAGGUUAAGCUGGGCACUCUAAAGAGACUGCCUUCGUAAGGAGGAGGAAGGUGAGGACGACGUCAAGUCAUCAUGGCCCUUAUGGCUAGGGCUACACACGUGCUACAAUGGGGCGUACAGAGAGUUGCGAUACCGCGAGGUGGAGCCAAUCUCAUAAAGCGUCUCUCAGUUCGGAUUGAAGUCUGCAACUCGACUUCAUGAAGCUGGAAUCACUAGUAAUCGUAGAUCAGCAAUGCUACGGUGAAUACGUUCCCGGGUCUUGUACUCACCGCCCGUCACACCAUGGGAGUUGAUUUCACCCGAAAAUUGGGAAGCUAACCUUCGGGGAGGCUACCACUUUACGGUGGAAAUUAGCGACUGGGGGUGAAAGUCGUAAACAA
rnacentral:rRNA from 1 species